AAACUUUCAACAACGGAUCUCUUGGUUCCCACAUCGAUGAAGAACGCAGCGAAAUGCGAUAAGUAAUGUGAAUUGCAGAAUUCCGUGAAUCAUCGAAUCUUUGAACGCACAUUGCGCCCUCUGGUAUUCCGGGGGGCAUGCCUGUUCGAGCGUCAUUGCAACCCUCAAGCGCGGCUU
rnacentral:rRNA from 1 species